rnacentral:tRNA from 1 species
GGACCAUUAGCUCAGUUGGUAGAGCACCUGACUCUUAAUCAGGGUGCCCAGGGUUCGAGUCCCUGAUGGUCCACCA